rnacentral:lncRNA from 1 species
GGAAAAACUGUGUGUGCAGUCAAAGCACUCUGCAUGAAGGUGACUUUUCUAGAAGGAAAAAUGGCUGAAUUGGAGAAACAAUGAAGAAUUACUGAGGACUACUCUCAACACCUUGGAGCUUUCUGGAGCUUUGUAUCUUCAGGUUAUUUUUUCCUUGGUGUGGAAAUUGCAAGUG